rnacentral:lncRNA from 1 species
AGAAAAAUCUUCAUGGAGUGGCAAAAGUUGUUUACCUGAAGCUCACAAGAUGUAUCCAGAAAAUAUCACCAGGGAUCAGAUCAAGCCUGACCCCCAUUUUACAUCUUCUGUAACCAGAAGCACUCCAAGAACAACACUUUCAUUCAUGGACUUAACAACUACAUUAGAUCAUACCAGCCUGUCACUUCAAAGUCACCAGUGUCAAGGAACAUUUCAAAUUGGCUUAAAGCAUUGUUUUGGAGGUGUGAAUAAUGAAGCCAAGGACAUUAGCAACAUCAUGAAAGCAGGCAUCAAGUGAAUAGAGAAGAUUCUAUGGAUGUAGAAGAGGUCCCUGGGUUUCCGAAUUGCCACUGGAUUGCCUCUAUCAAAUACACAAGAGUUUCAUGAGUGAGAAAUAACCUUCUGUUGCUUUAAAUCUUGGGUUGUGCAAUACAUCAGUGAGCCUACCAUGACUAAUACAUUCUAUGGAUGCAGAUUUCUCUUCUCUGGCCAUUGACAUGAGUGUGCUUUCUGGAUGCAGUCACAGGGGACCCAAGAUUCUUGGACAGAAUUCUCGCCGGGAGCCAACUCAGCCUGAUCUGCUGGCAUCUCUCAAGUAUCAGAAGUCAACAAAAUGGUUUGCCUUGAAGACUUGGCCAGAGCAGCAGCCAAACCUUGAAGGGCAAUAUCCUUACCAACAUGUGAUCUGAAGGAGCUCUGAACCCUCCAGUGAGACAUCAGCCCAUCAGACUCACAGAGAACAGCAGGAAGGCCAAAGACUCAAGAUUUAUCUAUCCUUGAAGUGAGCAAAAUUCCUUGUUAUUCAGUGAUGCUGAUUACAACAGGCCUCCGUUAUACGAAGGGAAAACAUCCCAGACCCCCCAGUGAAUGCCUGAAACUGGAUUCUACUGAACCCUGAGAUGGUACUAAGUGACUAACGGGUGAAUAGCGUGUACAGCAUGGAUACACUAGACAAAGGGAGGAUUCGCAUCCCGGGCUGGUCAGCAAGAGGUUUCAUCACCCCACUCAAAAUGGCAGGACCGUAUGAACCUGAAUCCAGAGAAACGGCUCAUCAGUCUCCAAUCCUCUGAUUUUCUAAACCAGGACUACAUUAUAUUAAAACCAGAAAAAGCAAUACCUCUUUUCACAGAAUGGACUUUCUGGUGGAAAUGGGAGGAACCAAAAGAAGGCUGACUUCUUCAUUUUGACACCCUGCCCUGACUGCAGAACGUGAUUUCCCUAAAAGACUGAAUGUUAACCUCAAAGCCUGGUCAACCAACAUGCAGGAGAAAUCUUGACCAAGGCUCUGAGCAUGCUGUGGUCCCAGUGGUGAGGGUGUGAUAUGCACUGUCUGUUCCUGGAGUCACAGUGCUCAUCUUGUGGUAAAGACCUCUUGGAAGAAUGUCUUCAAAGGCACAUCUCCAGCUGGGAGUCCUUGUUUCCUGAUUUUUUUUUUUAAGUUUAUGUUAUAUGAACAAAUGAGACUGCUUUCCCGGCAGGAGUAGCCCUCAGACGCCCACUGUGAGCCUACUUUCUGGAAGAAGCCAACUCAGACAGACCACAGUGUGUGCACAGCAUACGUGGCUGCUGGCUGUGGAUGAGAAAGUAUUCCUGAUCUGUCAGAAUAAUGAUUUCAGCGUGUUCUCAGCAGGUCCUCAGUGUGAUCCCAUGAGGAUACCCUCAACCCCUUGCAUGACAUGUUGUACUUGGAGUCCUUCCCCAUUUCAAUUUCAGCAUCAGUGGGAGGGAAAUAGCAAAACAGCAUUCCUUCAUGUAGAUAACCAGUAGGCAGCAGGCUACUCCUGGUUCGUAACAUAACUCCACCAGUGUAUUCUGGCAGCCGGGCUUACUUAAGGGAGAGCACAGACAUUCCCUGCUCAAAAACAAAACUGCUAAACGUGACUCCGGUAGCCUCCAUGCUCUCUGCAAGAAUAAAAUCCUUGAAGAAAAAUUGUGAUAAGAAGUCUGUCUUUGGAGUCAGCCUGAGCACAAUCUUGCAUCUCCAGUUACCACCUGGGUGGCUUUAUUCACUUAAGAAAUACCUGUAGGAUACAUACUACAUGGCAGGCAUGCUUCUCAGAUGUUAG